rnacentral:lncRNA from 1 species
CUCAGAGCACGGACAGUGUGCUGCAGAGACUCCGGUCAGUCUCUUCCUCCUGACCCAACACCUGCUGUUUCAGUGCUCUCUUCCCUGACAAGACCCCAGAGAAGCAGCUACUUCAAGCUCACGAAUAAUCAAGGCCAUGGCCCAGCUGAAGAGCCUCAGAGCAAAGAUGCACCCGGACAUGCCAGUGGAAGGAAAAGGGAUGAUGGACAAAGCUGCCCAAGCCUAGACUGGAAGGAUGAAGGACACAGGGUUCAAGUUGUGAUCCUGCUCUGUAUAUAGAAAAGGUUGGGGGCGGUAGAAGUGGCCAUUUCUUUUUAAUGUAGUUUUAAAAUAAUAAAAUUUACCAUCUG